rnacentral:rRNA from 1 species
UACGUAGGGUGCAAGCGUUGUCCGGAAUUAUUGGGCGUAAAGAGCUCGUAGGCGGUUUGUCACGUCGGCUGUGAAAACCCGAGGCUCAACCUCGAGCCUGCAUUCGAUACUGGGCGGCUAGAGUCUGGUAGGGGGAUCUGGAAUUCCUGGUGUAGCGGUGGAAUGCGCAGAUAUCAGGAGGAACACCGGUGGCGAAGGCGGGAUCCUGGGCCAGUACUGACGCUGAGGAGCGAAAGCGUGGGGAGCAAACAGG